GUGCUUUCACCCCUUUACCAUACACCAUGAUUUACCCCCCAAGAAAAGAAAUGAAAAUUUCACUCAGAACCCCUCAGAGUGACUCCAUUAGUCUGUGCCUGCCUAUCUCCAAAUGCCAGCUCAUUUCUCAAGCUAGGCCCCCCAGUUGGACUCCAAACGCUGCUAACUGCUCAUUCUUAUGCAUCCCUUCUGCCAAGCAGCACAUCAACUGGGAUGAGGAAAUAGCUUGAAGUUUUCCUGGACUAUAUUUUUUUCUGCACUUGGAGAAAUCAGAGGAAGCUUGUCAAGACAAGGCCUGACUGCAGCUGUGGGUCCAGUGAGGCUACUCAUGUAAGAAGAAGAGGCUGGCUCAAUCAAAUCUAAACCGUCUGGAGUGUCUCUAGAGUUCUUCAGAUGGAGGACUGAUGUGGUGAUUGGAUCAAUUAAGCAAAGACACUUGAUGAUAAGAAAGCAACUUAUGCAACUCUUAUGCAAAGAGGAUUCUGUCUGGUGUGCCUGUUGGAAUACUUAGCUGCGUACCUGCCUGACCCACUCUCCCACACACUCUCUGGAAAUAAACAUGAACUUGAAGACUUGAAGUUGACCCUGUAUCAAAGAAGGAGGACGGAAACCUGUACAAGAAAAGAAAGACUCUUCCAACUGAGUAACAAGCUACUUACCUGAAUGAACAUUCUGACUUUGGGAUAAUUUUAUACUUACCAGAUUUUGGAACAAAAACCUUUCCUGAGUUUAACAGCUUCUGAUGAAAUAUCUUAAGUUUUGUCUGCUUCGGUGACUCAAAUCUUGUGUGUGCCUGUGAACAUUCAGCUUUAACGAAGAUACUUGGUUCAUUUCUGUUGUUUAGAAACAACAUUGAGUAGCUCAUUAAAACCUUGUGAAACUGCUCGGUGUGACCUGCAGUUGAGUCCUUUUAGUGAACCGUGACAAACUCAUCAUUAGAAAUAACGUAGACAGAGACUCAAAAGUAUUAGAAGGAAAUUAAAACAGCAAUCCAAAACUUUAAGCACUAGAACCAAAACUGAACUUGAAUAUAUUAACCAAGAAUACAAAACAGCUGGGACCGUGUUCAUUGUUACCAGGUGUACUGAAAGUCCUGCGGUAAACUGCUCUCAAGGCAACUCAGACCAUGCAGGUGACAUGCGGUGUAGUGAAAUGAGUAUUAAUUAGAACCCAGCAAUUAAGCUGAAGUGCAGCAGCAGUCUGAGAAACCCAAAUUAAGGAAAUUAAUGGCUUCAGACAAUGUGUUCUUAUGUGGCACUUGUUUGAUUGGAGCUAAACAGCAAUGUAUGGUUAUAAGCUUGGUAGGCAAUGAGUCUGGCUGUGUAUAUCAGAAAGAAUAAUAACAUGCAAUCUCAGUUACCAGUAACCAGUAAUUAGCUCAGCCAACACAAGCAUUGAGAUCAUUAUUCACAGUCAAGCUCAGAAGAUAUCUAAGAGCACAAACAAAUAGAAACAUCCAUAAACAAGUGCAGGAAAGAAGCAAUAGGAGGUGCAUACAGCGCACUAUGGUGCAUGCAUAUUUUCAUGGGUAGAAGCAAACUUUAGAGGGUGAGGCUUUUGUUUGUUUUAGAUAGAUUUAACAGCAUUUUAUCUUCUCUGAUCCUAGUUUCAAUUUCACUUUUGAAUCAAAACUCACAGUUUUGUUGGCAUGAUAUGUACUACUUUUAUUUCAUGAGCUACAUGAUGCACCCUAAUAAUGAUUCUGAUUACACAUUCAUUUUGCACCUGCAAAUGUAAACACAAUACUUACACUGUGGUGGUAAUGAUGCUGUUACCAGCACCAAACUGUAUUUGACUCCUCAAACUCUUUGAAAUGGCAUAAUCAGGCUGAUGUGGCAGGAAGUUGCUCUUGAAAAGCUACUAUUGGGUUAAUGUAGCUUUUGAAAUGCUGAUGGGAGCAGUGGCAACAAGCAACGGGACAGCUUUUGGGUGAGCAUGCUGCGAAACAAUGAGCAGAAUACUGACAGCUUAAAUACACUGACACGACUGAGAGUGUGGAUAUGUGUUGCUGUUACAGAGGUACAGGUGAAGCAGGGGGACUGAAGUUGGAUUGCAAUAGUACAUAGGCUUAAAACAGAAACAUAAAUAUGUAUUUAGCUUUCCAAGAAUCAUUCUAUGGAUUUAUUUCAGUGUACUAGAAAUGUUGCACGUUUUAGCUUUAACUCCAAUCAUCUGAGUGCUUUUCAUCAGCAUAGAGCCCCAUUUAGCCAUUUGACCAAUUCCCUGAAAGGAUUCAAGAUUAAUUAAUCAGUAUAAUGAAGUUAUUUUGUUAGUGUGUGUAACUCUUUCUAAAGGUCACUAGGGCUCAGAAGACUGUGGCGACAGUCCACAUGUAGCAUUCCAAACUUAGCAACCGAUGUAGUCACUGAUACCGUAAGCAAUUAAAGAAAAUCAACAGCAGUCAUUCAGCUUUGGUGGGGUUUUUUUUCCUGUGCACUCUACAAGUCUGUAAUCAGAGGCCCAUAGAAAUCAUUCCAGUUUGAAAUGGAGAAUUGCAGAACAUUAGCUUGUGGAUAAAAAAUUUUCAAGUACAUAGCCAGUGAAAUACACAGAAAAAGCAUAAAGCGUAAGCACAUAAAGCCUGAGCAAAGAGGGAUUAGCUAAACAUAACAGCAAUUAUUUUAUUUCUCAUCAAGCUUAUAGUUUAAAUUAUAACAAGAUUUGCAUAAUGCAAAUAACAGGUAGUGAUGCCAGACUUAGUAAGUGGGCGAGUUAAACUGCAGAGAUGAUUCUUUGUGCCUAUUUAAUCAAGUGAUCUACUUAGGCAAACUCAUUUGGGACUUCUGUGUACUCUUUUUAUUGCUAUCCUUUUUAUAGCUAUCCAAACCAAAAUGUUUGCUGAGGCUAGAGACAUCCAGCAGGAUAUGCUGUGCUUUGUUUCACAAUGUCAGAACUGUGUGCACAACAGUGAUAAGGGUUCAGUGCUUCACUGUAAGAUCAGUAUUAGUCUUGCAGAUAUCUUUUCUAGGAUGGAUAAAUAGAUGCUAUUUAAAAUAUUUCAGAAGAGAUGUUCAUGCUCUGAUAAAGAAAAGAUUCGUCACUAUGGAAAUGUAAACAAAAACACCACAGGGUACCAUUUCAUGGUUUCAUAACACUCAGUGUCAUCUUUUUACUUAUAUAUAUUUGAAAAAUAUAAACAUAAAAUAUAAAUCAUUCCAUAAAUGAUCCCACCUAUUGGGUAACCAGAGUCCUAUUUCUGCAUAAUAGUUUUCCCUGAAGUGUCCCAUCAUCAAGUAGUUCAUCAUCAAGCAUUAAUUUUUACCCAGAUAUCAAAUUAUGUUCCUAAAAACAUGUCUGUUGAUAUUUUUGAUAUAUUUUCAUGAACUUAAACUUGAUAUUGUGAGAAAACUAAAUAAUGCCUUUGAUUAAUUGUUGAACAGUUGUUGUAAACAGUUCAGUGGAUUUCAUUUGUUCCCCACUACUAAAAUGUAUUCCUUUUAAAAGUUUUUCUUUUAUUAUUUUUAAAAAUAUUUUUUUAAUAUAAAAAGCAAAGAUACCUGGAGAAUAUUAUUGAUUAUGUGUCUUACUGAUUUAUACUCUCUAGGCCUGAACUACUUCCAACAUGUCUUAGGUGUCUUAUAGUAAUUUGGAAAGGAUUUAAUCACUCAAAGAUGCACCAAAUUUUAAAAGACUACGAUGGACAGACCUUUUAUGUUUAGUACAUUUUAGUAUUCUGCACAAAAACAACAAAAAAACCCUUAAUUUGUGUGAAACAGGACAAAUUUUGUUCUUUGUUGCUGUGUUUUUCUUCCACAUUUUCCUUCAGAAAGACUCAUAACAACCUCUCAAGCUGAAUUAAGUACAGCAGCUGUUUAACGUUUGGCCAUCCACCUGCUCCGCCCCCCUAAAUUGCAACUGCUCAAAAACAAAGAAAAAACAUGGUGACUGGUUACACUCACAACCCCAUUUCCUUCUGUGCCAUUGUUCAUUGUUCCCUUGAAGCUCAUGGAAUAAAAUUGCACACAGUUCUGCUUUGCCUUCUUUGAUUUUAAAUAUGGUUCAAAUUGUUUCCUUUUUGAUAAUAAUCUGGAACCAACUAUUUUUGCACUCGUGAGUCACUGCAGAACAGCUAAUGUUGAAAAUACAAUUUCCUUUGAGUUACUCAAAAAAGUUGGUAGUUGUGGAUAUUUUCAACAUUUUAGCAUUAAUUUGUUUUCUGUAUACCAUUUGCCUCUACAAUGUUGUACAGUAUGUGGCUGUGAGAGGAAUACAUAGGUAAUAAAC